rnacentral:rRNA from 1 species
CCUACGGGCGGCAGCAGUCGAGAAUCAUUCACAAUGGGGGAAACCCUGAUGGUGCGACGCCGCGUGGGGGAAUGAAGGUCUUCGGAUUGUAAACCCCUGGCAUGUGGGAGCAAAUUAAAAAGAUAGUACCACAAGAGGAAGAGACGGCUAACUCUGUGCCAGCAGCCGCGGUAAUACAGAGGUCUCAAGCGUUGUUCGGAAUCACUGGGCGUAACGCGUGCGUAGGCUGUUUCGUAAGCCGUGUGUGAAAGGCGCGGGCUCAACCCGCGGACGGAACAUGAUACUGCGAGACUAGAGUAAUGGAGGGGGAACCGGAAUUCUCGGUGUAGCAGUGAAAUGCGUAGAUAUCGAGAGGAACACUCGUGGCGAAGGCGGGUUCCUGGACAUUAACUGACGCUGAGGCACGAAGGCCAGGGGAGCAAAAGGGAUUAGAUACCCCGGUAGUC